rnacentral:rRNA from 1 species
GACAGCAGUCGCCACGGUAAUACGGAGGGUGCAAGCGUUAAUCGGAAUUACUGGGCGUAAAGCGCACGCAGGCGGUCUGUCAAGUCAGAUGUGAAAUCCCCGGGCUUAACCUGGGAACUGCAUUUGAAACUGGCAGGCUAGAGUCUUGUAGAGGGGGGUAGAAUUCCAGGUGUAGCGGUGAAAUGCGUAGAGAUCUGGAGGAAUACCGGUGGCGAAGGCGGCCCCCUGGACAAAGACUGACGCUCAGGUGCGAAAGCGUGGGGAGCAAACAGGAUUAGAUACCCCAGUAGUCCCUGUCUCUUAUAC